GCCUCCUAUUCCAGAGAAAACAGCAGGGUUAACUUAUUAUCUAAUUCUCAGUACUCACGUAUUUUAAUAGUCCUACUUGUCAUGGAUGAAAGUUAAGAGGAGUUCAAUUUGGGGGUAGGUAUCUUUCAUUCCCGUUCCUUAGUUGAGCCUCAUUUGUCUUGACCCAGGAAAGAAGAAUCAGACCGUAAACAACCAAGUUAAAGNNNNNNNNNNNNNNNNNNNNNNNNNNNNNNNNNNNNNNNNNUAUCAAGGAUUCUUCUCCACCUCUGCUGGUACCUUAUGCAGAUUUUCCCUUCAGAAACAGUAUCAGGGUAGCCUGUCUCCUCCUUUCUACCUGCUACUAACUAUCUUACUUUCAGGUUUUCUACUCCGAGGAAUUCUGCAAAAGAGGUUCUGGUCUCAAACCUUGACAUCUACCUUACCUGCGAAAGUCCUUGAAACAAGAAAGAUGACUGAUUUUUUUUUAGAGGUGGGGCCCUUUUAAAAUAACCUACUAGCUGUUGAAAAUAAACAGAAAGGAAAUGUGAGUGACAGAGUAAGCUUAAAUGUUCUGGGAAAUUAAAAAAAAAAAAAAAAGGACAGGAUGCCUUUGGAUCUUUGAACAACAUAUUCUAGUUUGGUAGAAAAGAAGAGAGUCAAGUUGAUAAGGGACUGUUGAAGGAAACAAACCACCAGCAUGGGGUGGACUGAUGGGGCAAGUGUCUGACACACGCUCUGAAAGGUUUUGGUCUAUUCAUUCUACUUCGUUUUAGUAUAGAGUCACAUCUGUCCUGUGUGCAGGAUCUAUAAACAUGCAAAGACAGAUUUGCUUUACUAUUCCAGGUACAUACUCUGAAACAUAAGCUGAAUGGAGGACUGAUGGUGCCCAACAUGUCAACUUGGAGGGCAAUCCAGGUGACCCUGCAUCUCUGGGUCCUAAAGCACGAAACCAGUGCCAUACGACCUGUCACUAAAAACUAUAGGAAAACAAAAAAGGUAGAAAUAAGUAAACAGAGAGGAGGGAUGACAACAACAAGAAAAAAUAAAUCUUGUAGUAAAAGAGAAGGAAAAAGAAACAAGCCUUCAGAGGAACAGAGUGUCAACUGGCAAAUACUUCACAAAUCAGUGUCUUUGUGUUAG
rnacentral:lncRNA from 1 species